AUUGGACGCUGGCGGCAUGCCUUACACAUGCAAGUCGAACGGCAGCACGGGGCAACCUGGUGGCGAGUGGCGAACGGGUGAGUAAUGCAUCGGAACGUACCUUUCGGUGGGGGAUAACGUAGCGAAAGUUACGCUAAUACCGCAUAUUCUGUGAGCAGGAAAGCAGGGGAUCGCAAGACCUUGCGCUGAUUGAGCGGCCGAUGUCAGAUUAGCUAGUUGGUGAGGUAAAGGCUCACCAAGGCGACGAUCUGUAGCGGGUCUGAGAGGAUGAUCCGCCACACUGGAACUGAGACACGGUCCAGACUCCUACGGGAGGCAGCAGUGGGGAAUUUUGGACAAUGGGGCAACCCUGAUCCAGCCAUGCCGCGUGAGUGAAGAAGGCCUUCGGGUUGUAAAGCUCUUUCGGCCGGGAAGAAAUCGCACGGGCUAAUACCCUGUGUGGAUGACGGUACCGGAAUAAGAAGCACCGGCUAACUACGUGCCAGCCGCCGCAGUAAAAC
rnacentral:rRNA from 1 species